CCUACGGGUGGCAGCAGUGAGGAAUAUUGGUCAAUGGCCGAGAGGCUGAACCAGCCAAGUCGCGUGAGGGAAGACGGCCCUACGGGUUGUAAACCUCUUUUGUCGGGGAGCAAAGCGAGUCACGUGUGACUCAUUGAGAGUACCCGAAGAAAAAGCAUCGGCUAACUCCGUGCCAGCAGCCGCGGUAAUACGGAGGAUGCGAGCGUUAUCCGGAUUUAUUGGGUUUAAAGGGUGCGCAGGCGGCGAGUUAAGUCAGCGGUAAAAUUUCGGGGCUCAACCCCGACGAGCCGUUGAAACUGGCUUGCUAGAGUGGGCGAGAAGUAUGCGGAAUGCGUGGUGUAGCGGUGAAAUGCAUAGAUAUCACGCAGAACUCCGAUUGCGAAGGCAGCAUACCGGCGCCCAACUGACGCUCAGGCACGAAAGCGUGGGUAUCGAACAGGAUUAGAUACCCUAGUAGUC
rnacentral:rRNA from 1 species